ACGGGCCCAGCUGCUCCGCGGCAUGUGGGAUCUCCCCGGACCGGGGCACGAACCCGUGUCCCCUGCGUCGGCAGGUGGACUGUCAACCACUGCGCCACCAGGGAAGCCCUCUCCCUUUCUUUAAGGAGAGGUAUUUUACCUCCAAAUGUUCAAAGUCAUCAUGUCAGUGGACUGUCAUGAUUAACAGGGAUUAUUGGCUCUCAUUCCUCCUCGGCCACCUUCAACCCAAGUUGUGUUUCUUGUUUUUCCUUUUAAAGCCUUACAAGAGGCUAUGAAGAUUGGCCAACACAUUCCAGAACAUUCCCUACCAAGUUCCCUGAUACUAUCUUGGUGGACACAUGGCCUGUUUCCCAAGAUGUAAAUGAAGACAGUUUAACCAUUUUGCAAGCAUGUAGCAAGAGCCGCUAGUUUCAAAACUGGGCAAAAGACCGCUGUACCCUUCUCCAGGCAGUUUUGGUGUCUUAGGGUUUCUUGAUUUGCCACACCUGCCUCCUGGCACGAGAUUCAGAUUUAGAAAAGAUUCCUCAUGUGACAAGUAAUUAGAAAUCCAACUCAAACGACAAAGGGGAAGCUGUGGCUCCCAUAAUGGAAGUCCGGAGGUGGACGGAUUUCCCUGAAGGCUGAUGUGGUGACUCAGGAGACAGAGUGGGACUGUCUGCAAACCCCCAAGAAGUCAGAGGGUCAUGUGAUUGGACAGUUUCCAUUAUAUGAUCAUUGAUGGACCCAUGAUGUGACCAGGAUGCUGUGCUGUGCUGUGCUGAUGGGCAGAAGUCCACCACAGCCCAACCCCUGGAACUAGAAAUGAUUCUUCUCCAAAGGAAACUUGAGCAGCUGUCAGAAUGCAAAUUUUCACGAGUUUCUCCACUAUGAAAGCUCACAGGAAACAACAUGACCAGGCCCACCUGUGAAUGACUGCAGGCAGGAAGAAAUGAACACAUCCCCUCUGAGGGCUGACCAGAACCAAGAAAUGUUUGACUUUCUUCCCUCCCCUUUUAGUAUAAAAGAAGCCUGAGUUCUA